rnacentral:rRNA from 1 species
AUGAACGCUAGCUACAGGCUUAACACAUGCAAGUCGAGGGGCAGCAUGGUCUUAGCUUGCUAAGGCCGAUGGCGACCGGCGCACGGGUGAGUAACACGUAUCCAACCUGCCGUCUACUCUUGGACAGCCUUCUGAAAGGAAGAUUAAUACAAGAUGGCAUCAUGAGUCCGCAUGUUCACAUGAUUAAAGGUAUUCCGGUAGACGAUGGGGAUGCGUUCCAUUAGAUAGUAGGCGGGGUAACGGCCCACCUAGUCUUCGAUGGAUAGGGGUUCUGAGAGGAAGGUCCCCCACAUUGGAACUGAGACACGGUCCAAACUCCUACGGGAGGCAGCAGUGAGGAAUAUUGGUCAAUGGGCGAGAGCCUGAACCAGCCAAGUAGCGUGAAGGAUGACUGCCCUAUGGGUUGUAAACUUCUUUUAUAAAGGAAUAAAGUCGGGUAUGGAUACCCGUUUGCAUGUACUUUAUGAAUAAGGAUCGGCUAACUCCGUGCCAGCAGCCGCGGUAAUACGGAGGAUCCGAGCGUUAUCCGGAUUUAUUGGGUUUAAAGGGAGCGUAGAUGGAUGUUUAAGUCAGUUGUGAAAGUUUGCGGCUCAACCGUAAAAUUGCAGUUGAUACUGGAUAUCUUGAGUGCAGUUGAGGCAGGCGGAAUUCGUGGUGUAGCGGUGAAAUGCUUAGAUAUCACGAAGAACUCCGAUUGCGAAGGCAGCCUGCUAAGCUGCAACUGACAUUGAGGCUCGAAAGUGUGGGUAUCAAACAGGAUUAGAUACCCUGGUAGUCCACACGGUAAACGAUGAAUACUCGCUGUUUGCGGUAUACAGCAAGCGGCCAAGCGAAAGCGUUAAGUAUUCCACCUGGGGAGUACGCCGGCAACGGUGAAACUCAAAGGAAUUGACGGGGGCCCGCACAAGCGGAGGAACAUGUGGUUUAAUUCGAUGAUACGCGAGGAACCUUACCCGGGCUUAAAUUGCAGAUGAAUUACGGUGAAAGCCGUAAGCCGCAAGGCAUCUGUGAAGGUGCUGCAUGGUUGUCGUCAGCUCGUGCCGUGAGGUGUCGGCUUAAGUGCCAUAACGAGCGCAACCCUUGUUGUCAGUUACUAACAGGUUCCGCUGAGGACUCUGACAAGACUGCCAUCGUAAGAUGUGAGGAAGGUGGGGAUGACGUCAAAUCAGCACGGCCCUUACGUCCGGGGCUACACACGUGUUACAAUGGGGGGUACAGAGGGCCGCUACCACGCGAGUGGAUGCCAAUCCCCAAAACCUCUCUCAGUUCGGACUGGAGUCUGCAACCCGACUCCACGAAGCUGGAUUCGCUAGUAAUCGCGCAUCAGCCACGGCGCGGUGAAUACGUUCCCGGGCCUUGUACACACCGCCCGUCAAGCCAUGGGAGCCGGGGGUACCUGAAGUGCGUAACCGCGAGGAGCGCCCUAGGGUAAAACUGGUGACUGGGGCU